rnacentral:lncRNA from 1 species
UGGGAUCCUGGCAAACAGUGAGGCGGGUCAGAGAGCCCGCGUGUCCCAGAUGUGCUUGUUUAUCUGUGCCGCAGUGGCACUUGCAGCCUGUGCUCCUGGCCCGUCCGUGGGUGCUAGCGAGCUGCUGGCAGGUCUCCCCAGGGUGGGAUGCGGGAGGAAGGUGUUUAUCUCCAGCCAGGCUUCAUCCGAAACCCUGCGACGCGUGAACAUUUCCUUCCUCCUCCGCACUUCCUCUGUGGCUGGGUCAGCCUGUGGUUUUCCUGGAGUGGAAGGAAAGGAGUUNNCCAGCUCUGGGGGCUGGAGAGCCAUGGCUCCCUGCGUCUCAGGGCUGGGUGGGCUGAGGGACAGACUGAUGGACAGCCCUCUGGGAGCUGUGCGGGGUCUGGGAUGGGGUCAUGCCUGCAGCCAGGGAGGGGGAUGCCCUCAGCGGGGCGGCGUUUUGGAGCUGGGCCUGGGCCUGGCUCGGGGCAGGCACUGGAGCCCCUCUGAGCACACUGGGGUCUGUGGGGGACUGUUGCCCAGCUCUGGCGUUUGCACCCCCUUGCCCCAAAACCCCCUGGGCCGGAGAAGGGCCAUAAGACCCCAGGGAUGCCUGCUGCCCUCCAAACAGCCUACGGGGCCAUCCCUGGAGCAGGGGUUGCAGAGCCAGCAGCCCACAGAGGGGCCAUUGCCACCGGCCCUGGAGCACAUCGUCAUUCUCCGUCCUUGCGUUUCGCUCCCGGUUUUUGCGCGUGGUGCUUGCGCGGAGCCGUGCGGCUCUGCCCGGGAUUAGCGACAGCUGCCUGCAAUUGCAGCUCUUCCCAGACAAGCGUCUCGCUCCCCCAAGGCUGGGGCUGGGGCUGUUUGGGGAAUGCUGCUGGGGUGGUUUGUCUUGUAGUCUGCUCCAGGAAUGUUGGCCAGACGGUCAAAUUCUUCUCCCCUCUUGUAAAAUGAGUGAUGUGGGGCGUCUCUGGGAGAGCAGCCUGCCAGUCCCUCCUCCUCUGGAUAAACCUGCCUGGCCCGCACCACCCUGUCAUGGGAACGGGCCCUUUCA